UACUUAGGGGGCAAGCGUUAUCCGGAAUCACUGGGCGUAAAGCGUGCGUAGGUGGCGCGUUAAGUGAGAUGUUAAAUCGUGUGGCUCAACCAUAUCGAUGCAUCUCAUACUGGCGUGCUAGAGGACGGCAGAGGCAAGUGGAAUUGGUAGUGUAGCAGUGAAAUGCGUAGAUAUUACCAGGAACACCAAUGGCGAAGGCAGCUUGCUGGGCCACUCCUGACACUGAGGUACGAAAGCGUGGGGAGCGAACAGG
rnacentral:rRNA from 1 species